GAGUUUGAUCCUGGCUCAGAGCGAACGCUGGCGGCAGGCUUAACACAUGCAAGUCGAGCGGGCCCUUCGGGGUCAGCGGCAGACGGGUGAGUAACACGUGGGAACGUACCCUUUGGUUCGAAAUAACGCUGGGAAACUAGCGCUAAUACCGGAUACGCCCUUUUGGGGAAAGGCUUGCUGCCGAAGGAUCGGCCCGCGUCUGAUUAGCUAGUUGGUGGGGUAAUGGCCUACCAAGGCGACGAUCAGUAGCUGGUYUGAGAGGAUGAUCAGCCACACUGGGACUGAGACACGGCCCAGACUCCUACGGGAGGCAGCAGUGGGGAAUAUUGGACAAUGGGCGCAAGCCUGAUCCAGCCAUGCCGCGUGAGUGAUGAAGGCCUUAGGGUUGUAAAGCUCUUUUGUCCGGGACGAUAAUGACGUACUGAAGAU
rnacentral:rRNA from 1 species